CGCGGCCUAUCAGCUUGUUGGUGGAGUAAUGGCCUACCAAGGCGACGACGGGUAGCCGGCCUGAGAGGGCGACCGGCCACACUGGGACUGAGACACGGCCCAGACUCCUACGGGAGGCAGCAGUGGGGAAUAUUGCACAAUGGGCGAAAGCCUGAUGCAGCGACGCCGCGUGAGGGAUGACGGCCUUCGGGUUGUAAACCUCUUUCAGCAGGGAAGAAGCUUUUGUGACGGUACCUGCAGAAGAAGCACCGGCUAACUACGUGCCAGCAGCCGCGGUAAUACGUAGGGUGCGAGCGUUGCCCGGAAUUAUUGGGCGUAAAGAGCUUGUAGGCGGUUUGUCGCGUCUGCUGUGAAAAUUCAGGGCUUAACCCUGGACGUGCAGUGGGUACGGGCAGACUAGAGUAUGGUAGGGGAGACUGGAAUUCCUGGUGUAGCGGUGGAAUGCGCAGAUAUCAGGAGGAACACCGAUGGCGAAGGCAGGUCUCUGGGCCAUUACUGACACUGAGAAGCGAAAGCAUGGGGAGCGAACAGGAUUAGAUACCAUGGUAGUCCAUGCCGUAAACGUUGGGCGCUAGGCGUGGGUCUCAUUCCACGAGAUCCGUGUCGCAGCUAACGCAUUAAGCGCCCCGCCUGGGGAGUACGG
rnacentral:rRNA from 1 species